GUCGAGGUGGCGGAAUGGCAGACGCACUGGCUUCAGGAGCCAGCGACCGCAAGGUCAUGAGGGUUCGAGUCCCUCUCUCGACA
rnacentral:tRNA from 1 species